CUUCACCGAACCGAGCCACAACCGCUGCUCGGGGUCCCGCCCUUGACCGUACGUGGCGAGCAGCGCCUGUGCCUC
rnacentral:antisense_RNA from 1 species